rnacentral:tRNA from 1 species
GGGGUUGUGGCUCAGCGGUAGAGUGCUCGCCUCGCAUGUGCAAUGAGCAAGGGUUUGAUCUGGGUUCGAUCCUCAGCACCACA